rnacentral:snRNA from 1 species
AUACUUUUUUGGCAGGGAAAAUAUCACGAUCACGAAAGUGGAUUUUCUAAGAGCGAGUUUUCUAAGAGCGAGGUUUAUCCAUUGCACUCCGGAUGUGUUGACUCCUGCGAUUUCCCCAAAUGUGGGAGAGUCGACUGCAUGAUUUGUGAUAGUGGGAGACGGCCUGACGUGUUUUCCCU